UACGGAGGGUGCAAGCGUUAUCCGGAUUCACUGGGUUUAAAGGGUGCGUAGGUGGGGAUGUAAGUCAGUGGUGAAAUCUCUGUGCUUAACAUGGAAACUGCCAUUGAUACUAUGUUUCUUGAAUUUUCUGGAGGUAAGCGGAAUAUGUCAUGUAGCGGUGAAAUGCUUAGAUAUGACAUAGAACACCAAUUGCGAAGGCAGCUUGCUACAGGGAUAUUGACACUGAGGCACGAAAGCGUGGGGAUCAAACAGG
rnacentral:rRNA from 1 species